GACGAACGCUGGCGGCGUGCUUAACACAUGCAAGUCGAACGGAAAGGCCCUGCUUUUGUGGGGUUCUCGAUUGGCGAACGGGUGAGUAACACGUGAGUAACCUGCCCUUGACUUUGGGAUAACUUCAGGAAACUGGGGCUAAUACCGGAUAGGAGCUCCUGCUGCAUGGUGGGGGUUGGAAAGUUUCGGCGGUUGGGGAUGGACUCGCGGCUUAUCAGCUUGUUGGUGGGGUAGUGGCUUACCAAGGCUUUGACGGGUAGCCGGCCUGAGAGGGUGACCGGCGACAUUGGGACUGAGAGACGGCCCAGACUCCUACGGGAGGCAGCAGUGGGGAAUAUUGCACAAUGGGCGGGAGCCUGAGGCAGCAACGCCGCGUGCGGGAUGACGGCCUUCGGGUGGUAAACCGCUUUCGCCUGUGACGAAGCGUGAGUGACGGUAAUGGGUAAAGAAGCACCGGCUAACUACGUG
rnacentral:rRNA from 1 species